rnacentral:misc_RNA from 1 species
GAUGAAGAACGAGCGAAAUGCGAUAAGUAAUGUGAAUUGCAGAAUUCAGUGAAUCAUCGAAUCUUUGAACGCACAUUGCGCCCAUUAGUAUUCUAGUGGGCAUGCCUGUUCGAGCGUCAUUAAGUCCACUUAAGCCCUGCUUAGUGUUGGGAGACUGCUCCAGCGGUGCUACCCUGUAGCUACCCUGCAGCUCCUCAAAGACAGCGGCGGAGUUGUGGUAUCCUCUGAGCUUAGUAACUUGUUCUAGCUUUCGAGUACACCACUUCCCCUGCCGUAAAACCCUUAAUUUUUAAUGGUUGACCUCGGAUCAGGUAGGAAUACCCGCUGAACUUAAGCAUAUCAAUAAGCGGAGGA